rnacentral:rRNA from 1 species
GACGAACGCUGGCGGCGUGCUUAACACAUGCAAGUCGAACGGAAAGGCCCUUCGGGGUACUCGAGUGGCGAACGGGUGAGUAACACGUGGGUGAUCUGCCCUGCACUUUGGGAUAAGCCUGGGAAACUGGGUCUAAUACCGAAUAUGACCACGCGCUUCAUGGUGUGUGGUGGAAAGCUUUUGCGGUGUGGGAUGGGCCCGCGGCCUAUCAGCUUGUUGGUGGGGUAAUGGCCUACCAAGGCGACGACGGGUAGCCGGCCUGAGAGGGUGACCGGCCACACUGGGACUGAGAUACGGCCCAGACUCCUACGGGAGGCAGCAGUGGGGAAUAUUGCACAAUGGGCGCAAGCCUGAUGCAGCGACGCCGCGUGAGGGAUGACGGCCUUCGGGUUGUAAACCUCUUUCAAUAGGGACGAAGCGCA